CUGCUGCCUCCCGUAGGAGUCUGGGCCGUGUCUCAGUACCAGUGUGGGGGACCUUCCUCUCAGAACCCCUACGCAUCGUCGCCUCGGUGGGCCGUUACCCCGCCGACUAGCUAAUGCGACGCAUGGCCAUCCUAUGCCGGAGUCGCCUCCUUUGACCACCUGGAGAUGUCUCCAAAUGGUGUUAUGCGGUAUUAGACGGAAUUUCUUCCGCUUAUCCCCCUGCAUAGGGCAGGUUCCAUACGUGUUACUCACCCGUGCG
rnacentral:rRNA from 1 species